rnacentral:rRNA from 1 species
AACGAACGCUGGCGGCAGGCUUAACACAUGCAAGUCGAGCGCCCCGCAAGGGGAGCGGCAGACGGGUGAGUAACGCGUGGGAACGUACCUUUUGGUUCGGAACAACUCCGGGAAACUGGAGCUAAUACCGGAUAAGCCCUAACGGGGAAAGAUUUAUCGCCGAAAGAUCGGCCCGCGUCUGAUUAGCUAGUUGGUGAGGUAACGGCUCACCAAGGCGACGAUCAGUAGCUGGUCUGAGAGGAUGAUCAGCCACACUGGGACUGAGACACGGCCCAGACUCCUACGGGAGGCAGCAGUGGGGAAUAUUGGACAAUGGGCGCAAGCCUGAUCCAGCCAUGCCGCGUGAGUGAUGAAGGCCUUAGGGUUGUAAAACUCUUUUGUCCGGGAAGAUAAUGACUGUACCGGAAGAAUAAGCCCCGGCUAACUUCGUG